rnacentral:rRNA from 1 species
GACGUAGGGGGCGAGCGUUGUCCGGAUUCAUUGGGCGUAAAGGGUGCGUAGGCGGCGCGGUAAGUCGGGUGUGAAAUCUCGGGGCUUAACUCCGAAACUGCAUUCGAUACUGCCGUGCUUGAGGACUGGAGAGGAGACUGGAAUUUACGGUGUAGCGGUGAAAUGCGUAGAUAUCGUAAGGAAGACCAGUGGCGAAGGCGGGUCUCUGGACAGUUCCUGACGCUGAGGCACGAAGGCCAGGGGAGCAAACGGG